rnacentral:lncRNA from 1 species
GCUCAAGUCCUGAUCGAAUCAGGAUCAAAUUUUUCUUGCAAUCAGACUUGAUCAAAUCAAACCCAAUUUAAGUCAAAUUGAAUCCAAUUCAAUUAGACUUGAUCCAAAGCUCUUUACUCAAUCAAAUUGAGUCAUUUAGCAAUAUAAUUGCUAAUUAAUUCUCCAUUAAUAGUAGAGUCUCAGUCCAGUGGGACUCUCUUCCAGAGUCACAAUCCAAUUGGACUCUUCAGCCAUC